CCUUGGAGGAGUUGUCGACUGCUGCCAGUCGGGGGCAAAGCCCUCUGUUCACGCCCAGGCCUGGCCCUGCAAAGGCCAGACAGCGGUGUCAACACUGCUGGCAGAUUUAAAAUCACCGUCGCAGUACUGAAGCUGGGUCAGGGAGCUGAGCCACACUCUGAGGAAGCCUGACUCCCACUAUGGACUGGUGGCAGCUUCUCCAAAGUCUGGGUUCAGUUCCCAGGAGGAAGUGGCUUCUGAAGAGCACAUUUGGAUGCGGGAGAGUGACAGCGGGAGGGGCACGCGACAGGAAGGAAGCCCCUUGACAGAAGGCUGGCGGAUUAACGCAGCAUACAGUAGAGACAGGGUUUCACCGUGGUCUCGACCUCCUGACCUCGUGAUCCGCCCGCCUCGGCCUCCCAAAGUGCUGGGAUUACAAGCGUGAGCCACCGCGCCUGGCCAAGAUUCUUAAAGACACAUCACCACAGUCAUCUGAAGAAUUCCUUCCACCUAAGAACCUGCUCGCCUGACUCUACCCUGCUGGAUGGAAAGAAGGACUGGGCACAUAUUUGAUUAUCCAGUGAGGACUUGCUGAGCGCCUGCUAUGGCCAGGCUCUGUGCGAGAUGGUUAGGGAACGUCAGUGAACAAACAUGGUAGACACAGCCACUCUCCCCUUGCUCCUUGCUCACCAAACAAAGUUCAUUCCAACUCUCACCCUGGCCCUUGGGGUCUUUGUUGUUUAAGCCAAUCAUGAUGUUAUAUUCCC